GAUGAACGCUGGCGGCGUGCCUAAUACAUGCAAGUCGAGCGAACAGACGAGGAGCUUGCUCCUCUGACGUUAGCGGCGGACGGGUGAGUAACACGUGGAUAACCUACCUAUAAGACUGGGAUAACUUCGGGAAACCGGAGCUAAUACCGGAUAACAUGUUGAACCGCAUGGUUUAACAGUGAAAGACGGUCUUGCUGUCACUUAUAGAUGGAUCCGCGCCGCUUUAGCUAGUUGGUAAGGUAACGGCUUACCAAGGGAACGAUGCGUAGCCGACCUGAGAGGGGGAUAGGCCACCCUGGAAGUGAGACGCGCUCCAGGCGCCUACGGGACGGAGCAGUCGGCAAUCGUCCGCAAUGGGCGAGAGCAUGACGGAGCAGCGGGGCGUGAGUGGAGACGGUGUUCGGAUCGGGAAACUCUGUUAUGAGGGAAAAACAAAUUUGUCAGUAACUGUGCACGUCUUGACGGUACCUAAUCAGAAAGCAACGGCUAACUACGUG
rnacentral:rRNA from 1 species